UUUACUCAGCUAGAAUUUUGGACUUCAGUCCCCAUCCUUAGAGUUGUGAGAAUUCUAGCUCAAAUUGUAUUUUUCUUGUUGUUCUCAAGUUAAGGUGAGUGGUGAAGUUUCGUCGUGAACUCAUUGUUCCAGUUGGCUGCCCAGAAAAAGUUGUUAGAGUAAGCUGUCUAUUAUCGUCACUCAAUGAAAAAUUCAUCCUGCUUGAUACUGCUGUUGAAAGUGAACGUUGUGAUACGGCUCCGGAACAUUUCAAAGCUAUUUUAAGCAAGAAAGAGGUCACUGACAUACUAGAGAUUUUGCGCACUUGUAUUGGACUGUGCCAGAGGAAUAGCCCCCGUGGUUUCAAUUGCUUGAUUCUUUUUGUGAGCCUUUGGUGGAUUCACAUGAUCUUAGUAUAAUAAGAUAUAAGGAUGAAGAACGUGCGCAAGAAGGCGAGACGGCUUGCAAAAUUCAAUGGAAGGUGUCAAAAUCUCAUAGGAACGCUCACAUCCUCAGGAAAUUGAUCUCUGCGUUUAUCAAAGAGAUUGUUGAAGGAAUGAUAGGAUAUGUAUGCCUCCCAAGGAUCAUAUUAAAGCUUCUUUCAGAUAAUGAGACGCAGGAAUUUGGUGAUUUCAAACCUACUAUACUGGGGAUGCUUGGAACAUAUGAUAUUGAGAGGCGGAUUUUGGAUACAGCUAAAUCUUUGAUUAAAGAUGAUACAUAUUCUGCGUUGAGCUUACUGAAGAGAGGAGCUUCUCACGGAUUUGCACCUCGUAGCCUCCUAUGUUGCAUUUGUAACUGUACCUGCUAAUCCUAUGAUUAUUUCUGGAUAUAUGUUCACUAGCUUGUAUAUUAUAGCAGAAACUGAAUUCACGAGAGGGCGAAAGUAUGGCUAGUACUGAGCCUGAGGUUAGACAUUUACGAUA